GUAUGGACAAACUUUCUCAUGACUUUCAUUGUCUAAUUCAAUUUGAUGCCCCUUUGAAGAAAACGCAACAGAGAGUUUCAUUAAAGCUGUGUGUCCCAAACCAGAAAUCAUAAAUGGAAACCUGUCAGUGGAGAAAGAGAUCUAUGCUGAGAUGGAAAAUAUCACCAUUCAAUGUGAUUCUGGAUAUGACUUAGUUGGUUCCUCAAACAUCAUUUGUUUAGAGAACAGAACAUGGUACCCUGACAUACCCUUCUGUAUAAUGGAGGGUCCAGAAGACUGCGAAAUAGUGAACAAAGGCAGACAACUCUUGCAGUGCCUCUCAAGCCCAGAAGACGUGCAAAGGGCCCUGGAGGUGUACAAGCUGUCUCUAGAGAUCGAACGAUUAGAACAGCAGAGAGAGAAGAGGACAAGCGUACACAGGAAAGCUCAUUAUACAAAAGUUGAUGGGCCAUUUAGGCCGUUCAGUUAAUGUAUGGAACCUCCACUCAACAUCUGGACCGACACGUAAGAACCUCCACUCCUGUUAAGAGGUUUCUGGGCCAGAAGAACUUAGGUUGUUUCUUUUUGUUUGUUUUUGAAACUAUGUCAUUCUUUAGUGUCUAGCCAUUGUGGUUCAAUUGUCUCCUUGGCUCGACUCACUGAAAUGGUUAAAUAUAAACUCUCAAAUAUCACAUUUUUCUGCUGU
rnacentral:lncRNA from 1 species